AGCAGCCGCGGUAAUUCCAGCUCCAAUAGCGUAUAUUAAAGUUGUUGCAGUUAAAAGCUGUAGUUGAAUUUCGGGAUCAAUGUUUCGGUCAUGCCGUUGGUAUGUACUGAUAUUAUUGUUUCUCACCUUCUAAAGAACCGUAAUGCCAUUAAUUUGGUGUCACGGGGAAUUAGGACUUUACCUUGAAAAAUUAGAGUGUUUAAAGCAGGCUCACGCUUGAAUACAUUA
rnacentral:rRNA from 1 species